AACAGCGUAAUUUUCUUAAAGAGUUCAAAUCGAUAAGAAAGAUUGCGACCUCGAUGUUG
rnacentral:tRNA from 1 species